AUUGAACGCUGGCGGCAGGCCUAACACAUGCAAGUCGAGCGAGCGGCGGACGGGUGAGUAAUGUAUGGGGACUGCCCGAUAGAGGGGGAUAACUACUGGAAACGGUGGCUAAUACCGCAUACUAUCGGAUAACCCAUAUGGGAUUAGCUAGUAGGUGGGGUAAAGGAUCACCUAGGCGACGAUCUCUAGCUGGUCUGAGAGGAUGACCAGCAACACUGGGACGAUGACACGGCCCAGCAUCCUACGGAGGCAGCAGUGGGGAUGAUUGCACAAUUGGCGCAAGCCUGAUGCAGCCAUGCCGCGUGUAUGAAGAAGGCCUUAGGGUUGUAAAGUACUUUCAGCGGGGAGGCGUUACCCGCAGAAGAAGCACCGGCUAACUCCGUGCCAGCAGCCGCGGUAAUAC
rnacentral:rRNA from 1 species